rnacentral:rRNA from 1 species
UACGGGGGGGGCAAGCGUUGUUCGGAAUUACUGGGCGUAAAGGGCUCGUAGGUGGCCAACUAAGUCAGACGUGAAAUCCCUCGGCUUAACCGGGGAACUGCGUCUGAUACUGGAUGGCUAGAGUUUGGGAGAGGGAUGCGGAAUUCCAGGUGUAGCGGUGAAAUGCGUAGAUAUCAGGAGGAACACCGGUGGCGAAGGCGGGUCUCUGGGCAGUAACUGACGCUGAGGAGCGAAAGCGUGGGGAGCGAACAGG